rnacentral:rRNA from 1 species
CAGUAGCCGCGGUAAUACGUAGGGUGCGAGCGUUAAUCGGAAUUACUGGGCGUAAAGCGUGCGCAGGCGGUUAUAUAAGUCAGAUGUGAAAUCCCCGGGCUCAACCUGGGAACUGCAUUUGAGACUGUAUGGCUAGAGUGUGUCAGAGGGGGGUAGAAUUCCACGUGUAGCAGUGAAGUGCGUAGAUAUGUGGAGGAAUACCGAUGGCGAAGGCAGCCCCCUGGGAUAACACUGACGCUGAGGCACGAAAGCGUGGGGAGCAAACAGGAUUAGAUACCCCGGUAGUCCCUGUCUCUUAUAC